rnacentral:rRNA from 1 species
AACAUCUAAGUACCCCGAGGAAAAGAAAUCAACCGAGAUUCCCCCAGUAGCGGCGAGCGAACGGGGAGCAGCCCAGAGUCUGAAUCAGCUUGUGUGUUAGUGGAACGGUCUGGAAAGUCCGACGGUACAGGGUGAUAGUCCCGUACACCAAAAUGCACAGGUUGUGAACUCGAAGAGUAGGGCGGGACACGUGGUAUCCUGUCUGAAUAUGGGGGGACCAUCCUCCAAGGCUAAAUACUCCUGACUGACCGAUAGUGAACCAGUACCGUGAGGGAAAGGCGAAAAGAACCCCGGCGAGGGGAGUGAAAAAGAACCUGAAACCGUGUACGUACAAGCAGUGGGAGCCUCUUUAUGGGGUGACUGCGUACCUUUUGUAUAAUGGGUCAGCGACUUAU